GCGGUGGGCGGCUGCCUCGGCCCCGGAUGGCUGUCUCCACAGAGGGCUGGCACUGGACCCUGCCUGGGGCACCCCACUUGAACCCCUACUCCCGGCCUCAGCUCUGGGACUCUGAACCCAGCACCUGCAAAGAGCCUGGCUGUGGGGACCCUUGGCUGCAGCAUCACAUUUAACCCUCCUUGGAAUGCUACAGGGAGCAUCCAGCAGACGGGAAGACAGAUGAUGCUGGAGACUGAGGAGCGACCUGCUGGAAGGAGAACAGUCCUUGGGGCGGAAUUCUGAGUGGGAUCCAACACAUUCAACAGCCGAUUGUGGAAUGAACAAACAACAGCUCAGCGCUUCCUUCUCCAAUGGGAUUAACUCUGCUUUCUCCUGCCCAGAGGGGGGGUUGG
rnacentral:lncRNA from 1 species